rnacentral:rRNA from 1 species
AUGAACGCUGGCGGCGUGCCUAAUACAUGCAAGUCGAGCGAACGGACGAGAAGCUUGCUUUUCUGAUGUUAGCGGCGGACGGGUGAGUAACACGUGGAUAACCUACCUAUAAGACUGGGAUAACUUCGGGAAGCCGGAGCUAAUACCGGAUAAUAUUUUGAACCGCAUGGUUCAAAAGUGAAAGACGGUCUUGCUGUCACUUAUAGAUGGAUCCGCGCUGCAUUAGCUAGUUGGUAAGGUAACGGCUUACCAAGGCAACGAUGCAUAGCCGACCUGAGAGGGUGAUCGGCCACACUGGAACUGAGACACGGUCCAGACUCCUACGGGAGGCAGCAGUAGGGAAUCUUCCGCAAUGGGCGAAAGCCUGACGGAGCAACGCCGCGUGAGUGAUGAAGGUCUUCGGAUCGUAAAACUCUGUUAUUAGGGAAGAACAUAUGUGUAAGUAACUGUGCACAUCUUGACGGCACCUAAUCAGAAAGCCACGGCUAACUACGUG